GUGGUGGCUGUUGUGUGUGUUUUUAGUGGUGGAUGUUGUGGGUGUUUGUGGUUGUUAGUGGUGGUUAUAUAAAUUCACUACAGUUUUACUAUUUGCCAAAGCUCCUUCUCUCUGUAGCUAAACUGUAUACUGUACUUUACUGUAAUAUAUAGAAGAUAAUCAGGUACAUCUCUGAAAUGCUAAUUUUUUUCUCAGACCAUUGUCCUUCUUUUGGCAUGGCCACCUCCAGUUUGGGUGGCCAUUAGGUACAUGAAGACAGGCAAGGCAGCACGUCUGGGAGUCCCCUACUGGUUGGAAAAGUACCCUCACAAAGACACAACCUCGAACUGUGCCAUCCUCUAUAAAAACGGUGGCUAUUAUUGGAUUGAUGCUAAGUGUGACACUAGAAAAGCUGCUGCCAUCUGCCGCUAUGCAUAAACCCACAAUGACAACCAUCUGCUGCUAUGUGUAAACCCACAUGAAAACCAUCUGCCACUAGGUGUAAACCUACAAUGACAACCAUCUGCCACUAUGUGCAAACCUACAAUGACAACCAUCUACCACUAGGUGUAAACCUACAAUGACAACCAUCUGCCAUUAUGUGUAAACCUACAAUGACAACCAUCUGCCACUAUGUGUAAACCUACAAUGACAACCAUCUGCUACUAUGUGUGAACCUAAAUGACAUCAUCUAAGGAUUGAAAUUAGCCUAAUAAUUCUUGAGUCCAUUCAGUCACAUUAAAAAAAUUCUCUCACAAGAAUUCCUUUUCUUUAAUGGAAAUCUACACAACCAAAAGAACAGGUUUAAUACCUACAUUGGUAGUCUAAAUUAUUUUUGGUACAGAUACUAAAACAUAAUAAUUGUUAUAUUUCAAAACAAUAAUGACAGAAUAAAGAGUUGCAAUACAUGUGGGUAACUAUGACACCUCAUGAGCCACAUCUUACCUUACUUUAUCUUCCGUGCCACUAUAGUCGGUCGACAGUCAGACAGUUCUCUCAUCACACUACUGGCAAGCAGAUAGAUGGAUGAAUAAAUACACAGAUGCUUAUGAAGUAAAAUGUUGUAAAAAUUCACGUUGGUUGAGUACUGAACAUGGAGAAUCAAGAGGUAAUAAACCUAACUCAACAAA